AUUGAACGCUGGCGGCAGGCCUAACACAUGCAAGUCGAGCGAGAGGCGGACGGGUGAGGAAUGUCUGGGAAACUGCCUGAUGGAGGGGGAUAACUACUGGAAACAGUAGCUAAUACCGCAUACCAUCAAAUGUGCCCAGAUGGGAUUAGCUAGUAGGUGGGGUAACGGCUCACCUAGGCGACGAUCCCUAGCUGGUCUGAGAGGAUGACCAGCCACACUGGAACUGAGACACGUGCCAGACUCCUGCGGUAGGCAGCAGUUGGGAAUAUUGCACAAUGGGCGCAAGCCUGAUGCAGCAAUGCCGCGUGUGUGAAGAAGGCCUUCGGGUUGUAAAGCACUUUCAGCGGGGAGGCGUUACCCGCAGAAGAAGCACCGGCUAACUCCGUGCCAGCCGCCGCGGUAAUAC
rnacentral:rRNA from 1 species